UAUAAAUAACUAUUUUAUAAUAAUUGAAUAGCCGCAAUUCUGUGCUAAGGUAGCAUAAUCAUUUGCUUUUUAAUUAAAAGCUAGAAUGAAAGGUUAAACAUUUAAAUUUCUUUAUUAAAAAUAUAUUUUUAAUUUAUAUUAAAUAUAAAAAUAUAUUUAAAAAAAAAAAAGACGACAAGACCCUAUUAAACUUUACUUAUGUUAAACUGGGGCAGUUAUUUAAUAAAAAUUUUAAAUUUAAUAUUUAUCAACAAAUUUCUAAUAAAAUUAAAUUAAUCAAGUUACUAUAGGGAUAACAGCGUUAUAUUUUUUAAAAGCUCAUAUUAAAAAAAUUGAUUGCGACCUCGAUGUUGAAUUAUA
rnacentral:rRNA from 1 species